rnacentral:tRNA from 1 species
AGAUGUGUGGCUCAGUGGUUAGAGCAUCGGGCUUACAAUCCUGAGGUUGUGAGUUCGAUUCCCGAACCUG